CGAGAGGAGAACUAUUACAGCCAAAAUAAUAUAGUGCCGCAGAGUCAAAGAGUAUAAAUUUUUGGUACUAGUUUUGGGGACUGCUACCUUGUGAUUGUUCUCACUGGAUGGACUAGCCACACCAGACAUUUUUCUCAGAGGUUUGUUAAAGUCCCUCGAGUUGAGGGUUUUUAAAGUCCCUCAGAUUUCUCUGAUUUGUGGAAAUGAUAGGAGAACCCAAGGUAAGAUAUAAGAUAAUGAAGUUGAGUGGAUAGAAUUUCUGUGAUGGCAGAUCUAUAUAUCGAAGGCUGACGUGGCGGUUUCCAAAACUCUUAUUCUAAUUUUCUUGAAUUUUUAGAAUGUCAAUGCUUAUUGAUUAAUAUUUUCAAAUUUUGAGAUUUCAGAACCUCAUAUAAAUUUAGUAGUAUAUGUAGUGGUCUAGCGGACAUUUCCAAAUGAUAUAUUAUUUAAUUAGUCGGAUUUGGAUGGAAGAUUACAGUGUUCAAGCUUGAAUAGAUUCCGAGACUUGAACCACCUAUACAUAAGUUUCAGUGAUCAAGGUAGUAAGCGGUAAUUAUAUCGAGUAGUGCUAGGUGCACAUAAUUGUUUACAUAAAAUUUGUACAUAAUGAUGUGGCAAUUGAGGUGGAGGGUUUUAAUUGGGGUGGUUGAUGUGAAUACAGAGAGCCCAUUCCAAUUAAAACCUCCCACAUGUCAUUAUGUACAUAAUUCUGUAUACAAUUAUGUGCACCAAGCAUUUUCCAAUUAUAAGAGGAUGUACAAAUGCAAGUCGAAGCACUUCUUCACCUGUUGUAUACAUACUUAAUCUGAUCUAAUACAUAUAUUAUGUAAUAAAAUUGUAUAAAUGAUAUGAAAUGAUAUAUACUCGAAUUUAUAUAUACAAAUUUAUUUUAUUUUAUAUAAUUAACUGUUCGGUGUGUAGCGCGGGUAAAACGCUAGUUUCUUACAAUAAUUGAUUAAUUAGCAUAAAAGAAAUUUCUCUUAUGCUCACUUCCGUCGUUCACAACAUAGUUCCAACAUAAUGCUAAUCUAAAAACAUCACCCGAAACUUGAUUCACUUCUACAGCAGACUCCACAUAAGAGCUAAUGAGUCUUCUUGUUGCCCUGUCGGUUCACUAUCAAGUAUUCAAGUUUUAACCUUGUGCAAUGCUGCAGGUGACGAAUAGUAUAACUUGAAAAUCUUAGGAAGCCACACAGGCAACAAAAACCCGAACAAAUUGAAGCACCACAGCACCAUAUUAGCCACAACAAUACUUCUUCCGGCAUAUAUCCUUAUUGCACUGCUGGAACUCGCGAAAUCUCCCCCACCGUAUUCCAUCGAAAACUCGUCUCUCAGCCACUCUAUGAGGGUUGAAAUCCUCACUGAAUUAUACACCACGGGAACAUAUACUCGUAUGGGGAGUGAAAACUUAUCCGAAAACCCCACUCCUUCCAUGAAUACUUGACAUAACAAAAGAAAAAGAUGAGGCACAGCUGGUUUGAUGCUCUCUUUAUGACCAAAAAAGAAACCUUCCGUUACGUAGGCUAUGGGGACAACAAGGCCAAUAAUGCCAGUGACAAUGAUGUAGAAGCCCAUAAACUUAAGCUGUUUAGAUGUGAGAAUAGGAGGAUAGGAAACGUUGGGGAUAACCGGAAAAGCAACCAUAGAAAGGAAAUACAUGUAGAUGAUAGUAAAGACUACAAAUGCAAAUUCUUGGGGCCUUACCAUUCUAGAAAACGAGAGGAGAACUAUUACAGCCAAAAUAAUAUAGUGCCGCAGAGUCAAAGAGUAUAAAUUUUUGGUACUAGUUUUGGGGACUGCUACCUUGUGAUUGUUCUCACUGGAUGGACUAGCCACACCAGACAUUUUUCUCAGAGGUUUGUUAAAGUCCCUCGAGUUGAGGGUUUUUAAAGUCCCUCAGAUUUCUCUGAUUUGUGGAAAUGAUAGGAGAACCCAAGGUAAGAUAUAAGAUAAU
rnacentral:lncRNA from 1 species